rnacentral:lncRNA from 1 species
GCCCAUAUUUUCUCUAAUUUGUUUAUUCUGUCUUCUCCUAUAUAGCCAAGCCUGAGGUGCCACAAAUACUUUAGAUUUAUCUCAUCUCUAGAUUUUUUAGAUACUAUGGUACUCACUAUAUGCUCAGAUAAUUUCACAGAUACAUCCAAAUAUAAGUGAUAGAGACUGUCAAUCAUAAAACCACGUGGAACCAAUUUAUUUCUCAAAUAAAUGGAACAACAGUCUUAUAAAAAUCUUCCUGUGCUAAACAAGAUACAGAAAUCAAAUUUCUGCUAGCAACAAGUAACAGUCCC